CCUACGGGUGGCUGCAGUGAGGAAUAUUGGUCAAUGGGCGAAAGCCUGAACCAGCCAAGUCGCGUGAAGGAAGACGGCUCUAUGGGUUGUAAACUUCUUUUAUACGGGAAUAAAGUGAGGAACGCGUACCUUUUUGUAUGUACCCUAUGAAUAAGCAUCGGCUAACUCCGUGCCAGCAGCCGCGGUAAUACGGAGGAUGCAAGCGUUAUCCGGAUUUAUUGGGUUUAAAGGGUGCGUAGGUGGUUAAUUAAGUCAGCGGUGAAAGUUUGUGGCUCAACCAUGGAAUUGCCGUUGAAACUGGUUGGCUGGAGUAUAUUUGAGGUAGGCGGAAUGCGUGGUGUAGCGGUGAAAUGCAUAGAGAUCACGCAGAACUCCGAUUGCGAAGGCAGCUUACCAAACUAUAACUGACGCUGAAGCACGAAAGCGUGGGGAUCAAACAGGAUUAGAUACCCUUGUAGUC
rnacentral:rRNA from 1 species